rnacentral:rRNA from 1 species
UGCCAGCCGCCGCGGUAAUACGGAGGGUACGAACGUUAAUCGGAAUUACUGGGCGUAAAGCGCGCGUAGGCGGUUUGAUAAGUGGGAUGUGAAAGCCCCGGGCUCAACCUGGGAACUGCAUUCCAAACUGUCAGACUAGAGUGUGGUAGAGGGAGGUAGAAUUUCCUGUGUAGCGGUGAAAUGCGUAGAUAUAGAAAGGAAUACCGAUGGCGAAGGCAGCCUCCUGGACCAACACUGACGCUGAGGUGCGAAAGCGUAGGGAGCAAACAGGAUUAGAUA